CUUACCGGGUCCGGACACACUGAGGAUUGACAGGCGACCAUUUGUAAAUAUGCUAGUCCUUUCAUGAUUGUGUGAUAGGUGGUGCAUGGCCGUUCUUAGUUCGUGGAGUGAUCUGUCUGCUUAAUUGCGUUUCAGAUAAUUGGAGGUCAUGAGUAGGUCAGCGUGUCUGGGUAACACCAGUCAUCGCGGGCUGAGCUCGCCUCCUUGAAAGCAACGAACGUGACCGCAGCCCCUUGUUGGACGUCCACCGCUCCCUCGUGGGGCGUUGUUGUCGAUGUCCGAACUAGGGGGACCGCCAGGCUUUUUAAAACCGGAGGAAGGUUGCGGCAAUAACAGGUCUGUGAUGCCCUUAGAUGUUCCGGGCUGCACACGUGCUACAAUGAUUGUUGCAGAAAGUAUCUACUACUGAUUGUUCUCGAAGACCUCGGUCGGAAGGGACCACGGACUGGUCUGUCCACCGCGCCCACUCCUUCGGGUUUGGGCGACGGGGACUGGUGCCACCGUGCAACCUACCUCGAAAGUCCGGUAGGCAAUCAAUUCCAAGUGACAAUCUCCCCUGCACAAAUCAAAUGUUGCUGCAGACGUAGGCUUUCGGCCUCACCGACGCAGUUGACAUGUGCUCUAUAAAUUCGUGGUCGGGACAGACCAUUGCUAAUUGUUGGUCUCGGUCUCAACUAGGAAUGCCUUGUACGGGUCUUUGGUUCAACAAACCACCCGGAAUACGUCCCUGCCCUUUGUACACACCGCCCGUCGCUCUUACCGAUGGACUUCGCUGUGAGUUUGAGGGACUGGCGUCCACGCCUCGCGUGUGCGAUGCUACGGAAACUCAAACGAACAGUGUGGUCUAAAGGAAAGAGAAGUCGUAACAAGGCAUCGGUAGGUGAACC
rnacentral:rRNA from 1 species